rnacentral:lncRNA from 1 species
CAGAAUGAAUGAGAACCAAAGCAGAAACCUGUUCUACUCAUCUCAGGUGAUGGAAACACUGAGACCUUUUCCAGAAGUGACUUCAACCAAGUUUCACAACCCUGGCAGGUACUUUUCUCCCACCUGUCGGCCUACAGCUACCCAUGAUCACCCUACACUCUUCCACAAUGCUUGGACCAGCCAGUCCCUUUCCCAGCAGGGCUCUCUGAGGUUCUGUGAUCUCUUGGAGGUUCCCAGCACCUUGGAUUUUUCUGAGUUACAGGAAUCCAUCAACAUGUGUCUAUUGUGCAUCCAGAGUUCCUGGCUUUGCGUGCAAGGAGAGCUAGUUACUGUGAAGACUGAUCAUCUCUAACCACUUACUGUUAAAAAAAUAAAAGAUUGGGG